rnacentral:rRNA from 1 species
CCGCGGGAUUAGAGUUUGAUCCUGGCUCGAAUCAACGCUGGCGGCGCGCUUAACACAUGCAAGUCGAGCGAGAAAGUGGAGCAAUCCAUGAGUAAAGCGGCGUACGGGUGAGUAACACGUGGAUGAUCUACCUUUUAGUGGGGGAUAACCCUGGGAAACCGGAGCUAAUACCGCAUAAGCCUGUAAAGGGAAAGCAGCAAUGCGCUGAAAGAGGAGUCCGCGGCCGAUUAGCUAGUUGGUGAGGUAACGGCCCACCAAGGCGAUGAUCGGUAGCCGGCCUGAGAGGGCACACGGCCACACUGGCACUGAAACACGGGCCAGACUCCUACGGGAGGCAGCAGUGGGGAAUCUUGCACAAUGGGGGCAACCCUGAUGCAGCGACGCCGCGUGAGCGAUGAAGCCCUUCGGGGUGUAAAGCUCUUUCGGCAGGGACGAUAAUGACGGUACCUGAAGAAGAAGCUGCGGCUAACUACGUGCCAGCAGCCGCGGUAAUACGUAGGCAGCGAGCGUUGUUCGGAAUUACUGGGCGUAAAGAGUGUGUAGGCGGUGCUCUAAGUUCGGUGUGAAAUCUCCCGGCUUAACUGGGAGGGUGCGCCGAAAACUGGAGUGCUCGAGCGUGGGAGAGGAAAGCGGAAUUCCUGGUGUAGCGGUGAAAUGCGUAGAUAUCAGGAGGAACACCUGCGGUGUAGACGGCUUUCUGGACCAUUGCUGACGCUGAGACACGAAAGCGUGGGUAGCAAACAGGAUUAGAUACCCUGGUAGUCCACGCCCUAAACGAUGCAUACUUGGUGUCGGCCAUUCAGUUGGUCGGUGCCGGAGCUAACGCGUU